GACGAACGCUGGCGGCGUGCCUAAUACAUGCAAGUAGAACGCUGAAGGAGGAGCUUGCUUCUCCGGAUGAGUUGCGAACGGGUGAGUAACGCGUAGGUAACCUGCCUGGUAGCGGGGGAUAACUAUUGGAAACGAUAGCUAAUACCGCAUAACAGUAGAUAUUGCAUGAUAUCUGCUUGAAAGGUGCAAAUGCAUCACUACCAGAUGGACCUGCGUUGUAUUAGCUAGUUGGUGAGGUAACGGCUCACCAAGGCGACGACACAUAGCCGACCUGAGAGGGUGAUCGGCCACACUGGGACUGAGACACGGCCCAGACUCCUACGGGAGGCAGCAGUAGGGAAUCUUCGGCAAUGGACGGAAGUCUGACCGAGCAACGCCGCGUGAGUGAAGAAGGUUUUCGGAUCGUAAAGCUCUGUUGUAAGAGAAGAACGAGUGUGAGAGUGGAAAGUUCACACUGUGACGGUAUCUUACCAGAAAGGGACGGCUAACUACGUGCCAGCAGCCGCGGUAAUACGUAGGUCCCGAGCGUUGUCCGGAUUUAUUGGGCGUAAAGCGAGCGCAGGCGGUUAGAUAAGUCUGAAGUUAAAGGCUGUGGCUUAACCAUAGUACGCUUUGGAAACUGUUUAACUUGAGUGCAAGAGGGGAGAGUGGAAUUCCAUGUGUAGCGGUGAAAUGCGUAGAUAUAUGGAGGAACACCGGUGGCGAAAGCGGCUCUCUGGCUUGUAACUGACGCUGAGGCUCGAAAGCGUGGGGAGCAAACAGG
rnacentral:rRNA from 1 species